UACGUAGGGUGCGAGCGUUGUCCGGAAUUAUUGGGCGUAAAGAGCUUGUAGGCGGCCCGGUAAGUCCGCUGUGAAAGUCGGGGGCUCAACCCUCGAAUGCCGGUGGAUACUGUCGGGCUAGAGUGCGGAAGAGGCGAGUGGAAUUCCUGGUGUAGCGGUGAAAUGCGCAGAUAUCAGGAGGAACACCGAUUGCGAAGGCAGCUCGCUGGGACGUUACUGACGCUGAGACGCGAAAGCGUGGGGAGCAAACAGG
rnacentral:rRNA from 1 species